GUCGUCCGGUUGGAGAUGCCUUAGGCCCAGCCUCCGCACAGCCGUGCUCGCCGCUCCGGCGUCGUGAACUCGUGGUCGUGGGCGAGGGCGACCGCGGCCGCCGGCAGGAGACCACCUCAGCUGCCCGCCCGCUCCCCGCUCGCCGCCAGACCAGAGGCGCCGGGAGUCACUGGCUGCGCUUUUCCUCUCGGAGCUGCACUGCGUGCCGAGGUUGGCACUGGAAGCCAUCAGCCAUGGCCGUGCGCGGCUGCUUGCCCAGGCGCCCUUGCUCGCCGGCGCCGCGGUGGAUGGGAUUAUGUACCAUUUCCGUCCCUCCGUCUCCUUCCUGCUUCGCCGCCCGGGUAGGUAACACAAAUCCAUGCCAUGAGUCACAGCUUGACACACAAUAUCUAUCCAUGCUACUAGGGUGUCAAGCGUCGUCUCGCAAAAGCGAAGCACGGCAAAACGUGUGAUUAAAUCUGAUCGAAAUUAAUGCAUGGACAGUGAAAAAAUUUCGCUGCAUCCCGCGCCGCUUGCAAGCCUACAUGCUACUGUAACCCGAGUAUCAAUUCACGCUGUGCCGCGGCAAACCAAAAUUGGCGCCCAUUUCCUCUGAAAAGAGUUGGUCCAAUUUGUCCACGCAGAGCAAAAACUCAAUCAAAUAUCUUUGUUAAGUCUAUCUACAAUUCUGCAUACAGGAAUGUUGGAGAAAAUUAAAGCCAAAUAGUUUGAUUUC